rnacentral:piRNA from 1 species
UCUGUAAAAUCAGGGCUUGACCUCGUGGU